rnacentral:rRNA from 1 species
AAUAGAUACCCCGGUAGUCCACGCCGUAAACGAUGAGUGCUAAGUGUUAGAGGGUUUCCGCCCUUUAGUGCUGAAGUUAACGCAUUAAGCACUCCGCCUGGGGAGUACGGCCGCAAGGCUGAAACUCAAAGGAAUUGACGGGGGCCCGCACAAGCGGUGGAGCAUGUGGUUUAAUUCGAAGCAACGCGAAGAACCUUACCAGGUCUUGACAUCCUCUGACAACCCUAGAGAUAGGGCUUCUCCUUCGGGAGCAGAGUGACAGGUGGUGCAUGGUUGUCGUCAGCUCGUGUCGUGAGAUGUUGGGUUAAGUCCCGCAACGAGCGCAACCCUUGAUCUUAGUUGCCAUCAUUAAGUUGGGCACUCUAAGGUGACUGCCGGUGACAAACCGGAGGAAGGUAGGGAUGACGUCAAAUCAUCAUGCCCCCUAUGACCUGGGCUACACACGUGCUACAAUGGACGGUACAAAGAGCUGCAAGACCGCGAGGUGGAGCUAAUCUCAUAAAACCCGUUCUCAGUUCGGAUUGUAGGCUGCAAC